UCCAGUUUAUCACUGGCAGUCUCUCUAAAGUUCUCAGCAUUACCUGUUAGCAACUAAAGAUAGGGGUUGCGCCCGUUAAAGGACUUAACCCAACAUCUCACGACACGAGCUGACGACAGCCAUGCACCACCUGUGCGAAGUCCGGCCGAACCGAAGGUCUGAUCUCUCAAACUUGCGACUUCCAUGUCAAGAGCUGGUAAGGUUUUUCGCGGAUUAUCGAAUUAAACCACAUGCUCCACCGCUUGUGCGGGUCCCCGUCAAUUCCUUUGAGUUUUAGUCUUGCGACCGUACUCCCCAGGCGGAUUGCUUAACGCGUUAGCUUCAACACUGAGAACUAUUCAUUCCCAACGUUUAGCAAUCAUCGUUUAGGGCGUGGACUAC
rnacentral:misc_RNA from 1 species